rnacentral:misc_RNA from 1 species
CCGUGACUUCCAUGCGUGGAUAAAAAAUCGUGCAACAGAAACAAAGGCUUCCAGGCUCCCCUUCCCUCCAUGGAGGGAAGGUUUUAUCCUGAAUUCCUGAUGCUACCCUGGCACUAUAGGUACGCUCAUCAUAUAAUUUUGGUCAAGCCGCGUAAGUUUGAAGAACUAAUCCACAUAAAUAUAUAUUGGUGGUUCUCUCAUCUGUCCAACAACCAGUUAAGGACUGUCUUUUUGGGGAGAACCUCGCCACUACCUUCUUUCUCUGGCUUCACGGAAGUAUUUACAGCAUUGCGGAUGACAGCAUUGAGGCGUAGUCUCAGCUGCGCAUUGUCAAUGAGCAGAUCAGAAAGCAUUUUAGUAGUAUCUUCAUCGGUAACUUUUGCAUCUUCACUGCUCA